rnacentral:snRNA from 9 species
AUACUUACCUGGCGUAGGAGAUACCGCGAUCAUGGAGGCGGUUCCCCCAGGGCGAGGCUGCUCCAAUGUAUACCCGAAUAACUAUUUUCUUUAUACCUCGAAUAGAACUUAAAAUUAAUAUUUUUAUAAUGAGGAACUUCGUUCCUA